rnacentral:rRNA from 1 species
AGUGAACGCUGGCGGUAGGCCUAACACAUGCAAGUCGAACGGCAGCACAGUAAGAGCUUGCUCUUACGGGUGGCGAGUGGCGGACGGGUGAGGAAUACAUCGGAAUCUACUUUUUUGUGGGGGAUAACGUAGGGAAACUUACGCUCAUACCGCAUACGACCUACGGGUGAAAGCAGGGGAUCUUCGGACCUUGCGCGAUUGAAUGAGCCGAUGUCGGAUUAGCUAGUUGGCGGGGUAAAGGCCCACCCAGGCGACGAUACGUAGCUGGUCUGAGAGGAUGAGCAGCCACACUGGGACUGAGACACGGUCCAGACUCCUACAGGAGGCAGCAGUGGGGAAUAUUGGACAAUGGGCGCAAGCCUGAUCCAGCCAUACCGCGUGGGUGAAGAAGGCCUUCGGGUUGUAAAGCCCUUUUGUUGGGAAAGAAAAGCAGCAGGUUAAUACCCCGCUGUUCUGACGGUACCCAAAGAAUGAGCACCGGCUAACUUCGUG